CGUGUAGGCGGUCUGUUAAGUCUGGUGUGAAAGCCCUGGGCUCAACCCAGGAAGUGCAUUGGAUACUGGCAGACUUGAGUAUGGGAGAGGAAAGCGGAAUUCCGAGUGUAGGAGUGAAAUCCGUAGAUAUUCGGAGGAACACCAGUGGCGAAGGCGGCUUUCUGGACCAAUACUGACGCUGAGACGCGAAAGCGUGGGGAGCAAACAGGAUUAGAUACCCUGGUAGUCU
rnacentral:rRNA from 1 species